rnacentral:tRNA from 1 species
UAGCUUAGUUAGUAGAGCAUCCACUUAGUAUGUGGGAGGGCCUGGGUUCAACCCCCAG